rnacentral:rRNA from 1 species
UUGAAGAGUUUGAUCAUGGCUCAGAUUGAACGCUGGCGGCAGGCCUAACACAUGCAAGUCGAGCGGUAGCACAGAGAGCUUGCUCUCGGGUGACGAGCGGCGGACGGGUGAGUAAUGUCUGGGAAACUGCCUGAUGGAGGGGGAUAACUACUGGAAACGGUAGCUAAUACCGCAUAACGUCGCAAGACCAAAGUGGGGGACCUUCGGGCCUCAUGCCAUCAGAUGUGCCCAGAUGGGAUUAGCUAGUAGGUGGGGUAACGGCUCACCUAGGCGACGAUCCCUAGCUGGUCUGAGAGGAUGACCAGCCACACUGGAACUGAGACACGGUCCAGACUCCUACGGGAGGCAGCAGUGGGGAAUAUUGCACAAUGGGCGCAAGCCUGAUGCAGCCAUGCCGCGUGUGUGAAGAAGGCCUUCGGGUUGUAAAGCACUUUCAGCGGGGAGGAAGGCGUUAAGGUUAAUAACCUCAUCGAUUGACGUUACCCGCAGAAGAAGCACCGGCUAACUCCGUGCCAGCAGCCGCGGUAAUACGGAGGGUGCAAGCGUUAAUCGGAAUUACUGGGCGUAAAGCGCACGCAGGCGGUCUGUCAAGUCGGAUGUGAAAUCCCCGGGCUCAACCUGGGAACUGCAUUCGAAACUGGCAGGCUAGAGUCUUGUAGAGGGGGGUAGAAUUCCAGGUGUAGCGGUGAAAUGCGUAGAGAUCUGGAGGAAUACCGGUGGCGAAGGCGGCCCCCUGGACAAAGACUGACGCUCAGGUGCGAAAGCGUGGGGAGCAAACAGGAUUAGAUACCCUGGUAGUCCACGCCGUAAACGAUGUCGAUUUGGAGGUUGUGCCCUUGAGGCGUGGCUUCCGGAGCUAACGCGUUAAAUCGACCGCCUGGGGAGUACGGCCGCAAGGUUAAAACUCAAAUGAAUUGACGGGGGCCCGCACAAGCGGUGGAGCAUGUGGUUUAAUUCGAUGCAACGCGAAGAACCUUACCUGGUCUUGACAUCCACAGAACUUAGCAGAGAUGCUUUGGUGCCUUCGGGAACUGUGAGACAGGUGCUGCAUGGCUGUCGUCAGCUCGUGUUGUGAAAUGUUGGGUUAAGUCCCGCAACGAGCGCAACCCUUAUCCUUUGUUGCCAGCGGUCCGGCCGGGAACUCAAAGGAGACUGCCAGUGAUAAACUGGAGGAAGGUGGGGAUGACGUCAAGUCAUCAUGGCCCUUACGACCGGGCUACACGUGCUACAAUGGCAUAUACAAAGAGAAGCGACCUCGCGAGAGCAAGCGGACCUCAUAAAGUAUGUCGUAGUCCGGAUUGGAGUCUGCAACUCGACUCCAUGAAGUCGGAAUCGCUAGUAAUCGUAGAUCAGAAUGCUACGGUGAAUACGUUCCCGGGCCUUGUACACACCGCCCGUCACACCAUGGGAGUGGGUUGCAAAAGAAGUAGGUAGCUUAACCUUCGGGAGGGCGCUUACCACUUUGUGAUUCAUGACUGGGGUGAAGUCGUAACAAGGUAACCGUAGGGGAACCUGCGGUUGGAUCACCUCCUU